UACGUAGGGUGCGAGCGUUAAUCGGAAUUACUGGGCGUAAAGCGUGCGCAGGCGGUUUCUUAAGUCAGAUGUGAAAGCCCCGGGCUUAACCUGGGAACUGCGUUUGAAACUGGGAGACUUGAGUGUGGCAGAGGGGGGUGGAAUUCCACGUGUAGCAGUGAAAUGCGUAGAUAUGUGGAGGAACACCAAUGGCGAAGGCAGCCCCCUGGGUCAACACUGACGCUCAUGCACGAAAGCGUGGGGAGCAAACAGG
rnacentral:rRNA from 1 species